GAUCCUGGCUCAGGACGAACGCUGGCGGCGUGCCUAAUACAUGCAAGUCGAACGCUUCUUUUUCCACCGGAGCUUGCUCCACCGGAAAAAGAGGAGUGGCGAACGGGUGAGUAACACGUGGGUAACCUGCCCAUCAGAAGGGGAUAACACUUGGAAACAGGUGCUAAUACCGUAUAACAAUCAAAACCGCAUGGUUUUGAUUUGAAAGGCGCUUUCGGGUGUCGCUGAUGGAUGGACCCGCGGUGCAUUAGCUAGUUGGUGAGGUAACGGCUCACCAAGGCCACGAUGCAUAGCCGACCUGAGAGGGUGAUCGGCCACAUUGGGACUGAGACACGGCCCAAACUCCUACGGGAGGCAGCAGUAGGGAAUCUUCGGCAAUGGACGAAAGUCUGACCGAGCAACGCCGCGUGAGUGAAGAAGGUUUUCGGAUCGUAAAACUCUGUUGUUAGAGAAGAACAAGGAUGAGAGUAACUGUUCAUCCCUUGACGGUAUCUAACCAGAAAGCCACGGCUAACUACGUGCCAGCAGCCGCGGUAAUACGUAGGUGGCAAGCGUUGUCCGGAUUUAUUGGGCGUAAAGCGAGCGCAGGCGGUUUCUUAAGUCUGAUGUGAAAGCCCCCGGCUCAACCGGGGAGGGUCAUUGGAAACUGGGAGACUUGAGUGCAGAAGAGGAGAGUGGAAUUCCAUGUGUAGCGGUGAAAUGCGUAGAUAUAUGGAGGAACACCAGUGGCGAAGGCGGCUCUCUGGUCUGUAACUGACGCUGAGGCUCGAAAGCGUGGGGAGCAAACAGGAUUAGAUACCCUGGUAGUCCACGCCGUAAACGAUGAGUGCUAAGUGUUGGAGGGUUUCCGCCCUUCAGUGCUGCAGCUAACGCAUUAAGCACUCCGCCUGGGGAGUACGACCGCAAGGUUGAAACUCAAAGGAAUUGACGGGGGCCCGCACAAGCGGUGGAGCAUGUGGUUUAAUUCGAAGCAACGCGAAGAACCUUACCAGGUCUUGACAUCCUUUGACCACUCUAGAGAUAGAGCUUCCCCUUCGGGGGCAAAGUGACAGGUGGUGCAUGGUUGUCGUCAGCUCGUGUCGUGAGAUGUUGGGUUAAGUCCCGCAACGAGCGCAACCCUUAUUGUUAGUUGCCAUCAUUCAGUUGGGCACUCUAGCAAGACUGCCGGUGACAAACCGGAGGAAGGUGGGGAUGACGUCAAAUCAUCAUGCCCCUUAUGACCUGGGCUACACACGUGCU
rnacentral:rRNA from 1 species